AUACGGGGGGUGCAAGCGUUAAUCGGAAUUACUGGGCGUAAAGCGCGCGUAGGCGGUUUGCUCAGUCGGAUGUGAAAGCCCAGGGCUCAACCUUGGAACUGCAUACGAUACUGGCAAACUAGAGUGUGAGAGAGGAUAGUGGAAUUUCCGGUGUAGCGGUGAAAUGCGUAGAUAUCGGAAGGAACAUCAGUGGCGAAGGCGACUGUCUGGCUCAACACUGACGCUGAGGUGCGAAAGCGUGGGUAGCAAACAGGAUUAGAAACCCCGGUAGUCC
rnacentral:rRNA from 1 species